AUAUCAAUAAGCGGAGGAAAAGAAACUAACAAGGAUUCCCCUAGUAACUGCGAGUGAAGCGGGAAAAGCUCAAAUUUAAAAUCUGGUAGUCUUUGGCUGCCCGAAUUGUAGUCUAGAGAAGCGUCUUCCGCGCCAGCCUGUGUACAAGUCUCUUGGAACAGAGCGUCAUAGAGGGUGAGAAUCCCGUCCAUGACACAGACUACUGGUGCUUUGUGAUGCGCUCUCAACGAGUCGAGUUGUUUGGGAAUGCAGCUCAAAAUGGGUGGUAAAUUCCAUCUAAAGCUAAAUAUUGGCGAGAGACCGAUAGCGAACAAGUACCGUGAGGGAAAGAUGAAAAGCACUUUGGAAAGAGAGUUAAACAGUACGUGAAAUUGCUGAAAGGGAACCGCUUGAAGUCAGUCGCAUCGUCUAGAACUCAACCUGGCUUUUGCUUGGUGCACUUUCUAGUUGAUGGGCCAACAUCAGUUUUGACCGCUGGAGAAAAGCCUUUGGAAUGUGGCACCCUCGGGUGUGUUAUAGCCUUUGGUUGUAUACAGUGGUUGGGACUGAGGACCGCAGCACGCCUUUUGGCCGGGGUUCGCCCACGUACGUGCUUAGGAUGUUGGCGUAAUGGCUUUAAGCGACCCGU
rnacentral:rRNA from 1 species